UAAGUGUUAUAUGCAUUAAUCUUUGGUAUGUGCCUACUAACCGCCAUGUUGGAGAGACAUACACUAGACCAAUGUGGCAUUGUUGCAUUGGGGUUUAAAUUCGUCGUUGAUAUACGAUACUUUAUGCUUUUGUAAGUUACGCAACACGUUCUCAAAACUGACGAGUUUAAAAGCUAGCUUACACUAUCAAAGUUUCUGUGAUCACAG